GAUGGGUGUAGUGGCAUGUUCCUGUAGUCCUAGCUACUCAGGAGGCUGAGGUGGGAGGAUCCCUUGAGCCCAGGAAUUCUGGGCCGUAGUGCACUGUGCCAACCAGAUGGCAGGUUCGGCAGCAAUAGGGUGAUCUCCUGGUAGAGAGGGACCACCAAGUUGCCUAAGGAGGUCAGAAAUGGAGCAGGUGAGAACUCCCAUGUUGAUCAGUGGUUGAGUCAUGGCUGUGAAUAGCCACUGCACUCCAGCCUGGGCACCAUAGUGAGACCCCACCCUAU
rnacentral:SRP_RNA from 1 species